UACGUAGGGUCCGAGCGUUAAUCGGAAUUACUGGGCGUAAAGCGUGCGCAGGCGGUUAUGCAAGACAGAUGUGAAAUCCCCGGGCUCAACCUGGGAACUGCAUUUGUGACUGCAUGGCUGGAGUGCGGCAGAGGGGGAUGGAAUUCCGCGUGUAGCAGUGAAAUGCGUAGAUAUGCGGAGGAACACCGAUGGCGAAGGCAAUCCCCUGGGCCUGCACUGACGCUCAUGCACGAAAGCGUGGGGAGCAAACAGG
rnacentral:rRNA from 1 species